UACGGGAGGCAGCAGUGGGGAAUAUUGCACAAUGGGCGCAAGCCUGAUGCAGCCAUGCCGCGUGUAUGAAAAAGGCCUUCGGGUUGUAAAGUACUUUCAGUCGUGAGGAAGGUGUUAAGGUUAAUAACCUUAGCAAUUGACGUUAGCGACAGAAGAAGCACCGGCUAACUCCGUGCCAGCAGCCGCGGUAAUACGGAGGGUGCGAGCGUUAAUCGGAAUUACUGGGCGUAAAGGGCACGCAGGCGGUUAAUUAAGUUGGAUGUGAAAUCCCCGGGCUUAACCUGGGAAUGGCAUUCAAGACUGGUUAGCUAGAGUCUUGUAGAGGGGGUAGAAUUCCAUGUGUAGCGGUGAAAUGCGUAGAGAUGUGGAGGAAUACCGGUGGCGAAGGCGGCCCCUGGCAAAGACUGACGCUCAUGUGCGAAAGCGUGGGGAGCAAACAGGGAUUAGAUACC
rnacentral:rRNA from 1 species